GUAGAUAUUAAGUCCCUAGUACUAAAUCAAUACCAAACUUGACUUCUCUAACUCGUGGCAACCUAAGUAAUUCUUCUGGAAACACAUCCAGAUAUUCAUAUACUAUCGGUGCUGAUUCAAUUUUCAAUUCGGACACUUUUGAAUUCAACACAUAAGCAAGAUAAGCUUCGCAACCGUUCCUUACAUAUUUUUGGGCAGACAUCGAAGAAAUCAUAACAGAUAACUCACCCGACUCAUCUGAAUCAA
rnacentral:lncRNA from 1 species